GGGGAUAUGGUGUAGCCUGGCCUAUCAUUGGGGACUCCAAGUGCCUAUAUGGAUUUGGACUAAAACCUAAUGCAGGAGAAAUCCCUAGACCUGGGUUCAAAUCCCAGUAUCCCCA
rnacentral:tRNA from 1 species